UGAGUACGAGACGCUAAGGCGUCGAAGUAGUGGAUGUCAUACUUCCAAGAAAAGCUUGCACUGUCAUAAAUAAAGAACGCCUGUACCAUAACCGACGCAGGUGGGUAGGUAGAGUAUACUAAGGGGCGCGAGAUAACUCUCUCUAAGGAACUCGGCAAAAUAACUCCGUAACUUCGGGAGAAGGAGUGCCUUAUUCGUAAGGCCGCAAUAACAAGAUCCAAGCAACUGUUUAUCAAAAACACAGGUCUCCGCUAAGUCGUAAGACGAUGUAUGGGGGCUGACGCCUGCCCAGUGCCAGAAGGUUAAAGAAGUCGGUUAGCAUUAGCGAAGCUGGUAACUGAAGCCCUGGUGAACGGCGGCCGUAACAAUAACGGUCCUAAGGUAGCGAAAUUCCUUGUCGGGUAAGUUCCGACCCGCACGAAAGGCGUAAUGAUUUGGAUACUGUCUCGGAGAGGGGCUCGGUGAAAUAGACUUGUCUGUGAAGAUGCGGACUACCUGCACCAGGACAGAAAGACCCUAUGAAGCUUUACUGUAACUUGAAAUUGAAAUUGGACUUUAUUCGCGCAGUAUAGGUGGGAGGUGUUGAUUAUAAUCUUGCGGGAUUAUUGGAGCCAUCAGUGAGAUACCACUCUUGUAAUGUUAGAUUUCUAACUUUGAAUCAUUAUCUGGUCAAAGAACAGUUUCAGGCGGGCAGUUUGACUGGGGCGGUCGCCUCCUAAAUGGUAACGGAGGCGUACAAAGGUUUCCUCUGAACGGGUAGAAAUCGUAUCUAGAGUGUAAAGGCAUAAGGAAGCUUGACUGUGAGACCUACAAGUCGAGCAGGGACGAAAGUCGGUCUUAGUGAUCUGACGGUACUGAGUGGAAAGGCCGUCACCCAACGGAUAAAAGUUACUCUAGGAUAACAGGCUGAUCUCCCCCAAGAGUUCACAUCGACGGGGAGGUUUGGCACCUCGAUGUCGGCUCAUCGCAUCCUGGGGCGGUAGUACGUCCCAAGGGUUGGGCUGUUCGCCCAUGAAAGCGGUACGCGAGCUGGGUUCAGAACGUCGUGAGACAGUUCGGUCCAUAUCCGGUGUAGGCGUUAGAAUAUUGAGAGGAGCCUUCUUUAGUACGAGAGGACCGAGAAGGACAUACCUCUGGUGUACCAGUUAUCGUGCCAACGGUAAACGCUGGGUAGCUAUGUAUGGAGUGGAUAACCGCUGAAAGCAUCUAAGUGGGAAGCCCACCUCAAGAUAAGUAUUCUCACC
rnacentral:rRNA from 1 species